AAAAGGUUCGAUCAAGCUUGAUUUGACGGCCAUAGUUAUUAAAAUUUUUAAAAUAAAGUAGAAGUGAUUGUAAAAGUGAUUAUAUAAUUUCUAUUUUAAAGUUAGUGAUUUUGAUUUUGAUCAAAAUUAACGAUAGAGUGAAUACAAAGUUGUCGUUCGUGAUAAAAUUUAUUUAUAAAUAAUACGUCUUUCAGUUUAUGUGAAAUUAAAUGAAAUUUACUUCAUUAUUGUUGCAAUGUACAAUAAAAUUUUAUUGAAGUCUUUAAUAAUUCCAAUUCAAUCAACGAUAAUUGCUCAUAUCAAGAAUUCUACACUUCAAUACUACAAAAAAUAGGAAGCUGAAUUUUUUAUCUCAUUUCGAAAAAAAGAAGAAAAGGGGCGUACGACGAUAUUAUUAAAAAGAGUGCACGGAUGGGAACUAUCGAUGCGAAAAACCGUUGUCCAUCCGUCUUCGAUGUUGCGGAGAAGUUUAACACGGAUGGUUGGAAAAGUUCAAGGCAUCGGGUAAGGAAGCGUGGGACCGUAAAGUGUGGAAUGGAACUGUAUUAAAUUUCGUAUCGCGAAUAAAACGUCCAAUUCUCUUUUUA